rnacentral:lncRNA from 1 species
UGAUUUCUUUGGGUUUUCUUACAUGGUGCAGGUUCUACUUUUGAAUUAUCUAUUCAAUUGAGUCAACCGAAGCAGAUGCUGUUAGCGUCUAGGGAACCAAACUAGAUGCUACCAACGUUGAUGAGUUGUCCAAAAAGUGCUCAGAUGUGGUUACCACCAAUGCUCUACCGCCAUUUCAACCUCGAUCCUUCAAGGUGAAGCUGCCAAGUGCUAGCACUCGGACUCCUUGCACACAGUCCAAUCAUAAAAAGGGUAAAAGGGGUGUGUAGUUAGUUUACAAUAUUGGCAGAGCAUGGCAUUGCGUGUCUUGGAAAAAAUUUAUAACCUCAUUCUGUGUACCAUAGUUAGACAGAUUUUUUGGUUGAUGGUACAUUUCUCAUUGUUGAUGUAGAAUUAAAAUUGAAAAUCGAAUCCAAUUGAGAAUAAAACUGACCAAAAAUUAGUGCAACCAAGUCAACCCAUGAAAAUCUACCAUAGGUCUAUUUCUUUAGAACUGAAUGAUUGCUAACAAUGCUAGUAAUAUUUUUUGUACAUGUAACGCCUCGCGCUUCAUUCUCGUAAGUAUUAUGUCCGAAUAGAUUAUGUAUUUGGAAUGUUGCAUAUGAUUUACAUGACAGAUUUUAUACUUCCUUAAUGUUUAUUUAAUGUGUACUUAAUAAUUUUAUUGUUAUUGUGAUUAAUUUUGUCUUGCAAUAGAAUCAACAUUGCAUGCUCUAAACGAUUAACGCGCCAAUAAAUUUAAUUAUGAUAGGUCUAUAAUUGAAUAAUAUAAUAUAGUAUUUUACUACGUGUUCUUGAAUAAUUUAACUCCUAGGUCGAACCUAGAUAACAAGUUAGAAUAUUAUGCAUCGACUUAAUAAGUGAAUACUUUUCUAUAAUUUAAUAUGGAAAUAAUAUUUAAAGGUCAUAUAAUCCCUAUUAUAAAUACAUAUAAUCUCUGUAUUUAAAUACAUUACACUGAUUUCUUUGGGUUUUCUUACAUGGUGCAGGUUCUACUUUUGAAUUAUCUAUUCAAUUGAGUCAACCGAAGCAGAUGCUGUUAGCGUCUAGGGAACCAAACUAGAUGCUACCAACGUUGAUGAGUUGUCCAAAAAGUGCUCAGAUGUGGUUACCACCAAUGCUCUACCGCCAUUUCAACCUCGAUCCUUCAAGGUGAAGCUGCCAAGUGCUAGCACUCGGACUCCUUGCACACAGUCCAAUCAUAAAAAGGGUAAAAGGGGUGUGUAGUUAGUUUACAAUAUUGGCAGAGCAUGGCAUUGCGUGUCUUGGAAAAAAUUUAU